rnacentral:rRNA from 1 species
AGGAUCAUUAAAAGUCAUUAUUUUAUGAAACCCCCUCUGUGUACUUUUACCUGUUUGUCAUCUGAGUAGAAUAUAGAGAGAGUUGGAAUUCUCCAGAACAAAAUGAUUAAACUAUUAUUCUCAAUGGUAUUUGUCUGAUUUGAUAUAAAAAAAUAAAUGUUAAAACUUUCAACAACGGAUCUCUUGGUUCUCGCAUCGAUGAAGAACGUAGCGAAAUGCGAUAAGUAGUGUGAAUUGCAGAAUUCAGUGAAUCAUCAAAUCUUUGAACGCACAUUGCGCCUUCUAGUAUUCUGGGAGGCAUACCUGUUUGAGCGUCAUUAAACCCCUCUCAAGUAAGUUUUUUUUACUUGGAUGUGAAGGAAGAGUACCUUAACUUUAAGGAGUUCUCCUUUGAAAUUUAUUAGCAGAUGGUAAUGUUAUUAAAAUCCCUGAUGUUGUAAAAAAUAACAGUGGUUUUGUAGACUAUUAUCUCUAGCUUUAAAUUCUAAUUUUCUAUUUAUAGUUUGACCUCAAAUCAGGUAAGGAUACCCGCUGAACUUAAGCAUAUCAAUAAGCGGAGGAAAAGAAACCAACAGGGAUUGCCUUAGUAACUGCGAGUGAAGCGGCAAAAGCUCAAAUUUGAAAUCUGGCACUAUUUCAGUGUCCGAAUUGUAAUUUAGAGGGACAUUUUCAGGUUCAGCACUAUUCUAAGUUCUUUGGAACAGGACAUCAUAGAGGGUGAGAAUCCCGUGCCCGGGUAGUUGUCUGAUUCUAUGUGAAGUGUCUCCGACGAGUCGAGUUGUUUGGGAAUGCAGCUCAAAAUGGGUGGUAAAUUUCAUCUAAAGCUAAAUAUUGGCGAGAGACCGAUAGCGCACAAGUAGAGUGAUCGAAAGAUGAAAAGCACUUUGAAAAGAGAGUUAAAAAGUACGUGAAAUUGUUGAAAGGGAAGCACUUGCGACCAGAUUCAAUCUUUGGAGGUCAUCUGGGUUUAGGCCUGGUUGUUACCUCUAUUGAUUGGGCUAGCAUCGGUUUUGGUGGUAGGAUAAAAGGCAAUGAAAUGUGGCUUUCCUUUUUUGGAGAGUGUUAUAGUCCUUGUCACAAUACUGCCUACUGGGACCGAG